GAUGAACGCUGGCGGCGUGCCUAAUACAUGCAAGUCGAGCGAACGGACGAGAAGCUUGCUUCUCUGAUGUUAGCGGCGGACGGGUGAGUAACACGUGGAUAACCUACCUAUAAGACUGGGAUAACUUCGGGAAACCGGAGCUAAUACCGGAUGAUAUUUUGAACCGCAUGGUUCAAAAGUGAAAGACGGUCUUGCUGUCACUUAUAGAUGGAUCCGCGCUGCAUUAGCUAGUUGGUAAGGUAAUGGCUUACCAAGGCAACGAUGCAUAGCCGACCUGAGAGGGUGAUCGGCCACACUGGAACUGAGACACGGUCCAGACUCCUACGGGAGGCAGCAGUAGGGAAGCUUCCGCAAUGGGCGAAAGCCUGACGGAGCAACGCCGCGUGAGUGAUGAAGGUCUUCGGAUCGUAAAACUCUGUUAUUAGGGAAGAACAUAUGUGUAAGUAACUGUGCACAUCUUGACGGUACCUAAUCAGAAAGCCACGGCUAACUACGUG
rnacentral:rRNA from 1 species